UACGGUCAAAUUACGUUGAAUCGCCGGUUCCUGUACGAUCACCAAAGUUAAGCAACGUCGAAUUUGGUUAGUACGUAGAUGGGUGAUCACUUGGGAAUACCAGGUGCUA